UACGGAGGAUGCAAGCGUUAUCCGGAAUGAUUGGGCGUAAAGCGUCCGCAGGUGGCAAUGUAAGUCUGCUGUUAAAGAGUCUAGCUCAACUAGAUACAAGCAGUGGAAACUACAUAGCUAGAGUACGUUCGGGGCAGAGGGAAUUCCUGGUGUAGCGGUGAAAUGCGUAGAGAUCAGGAAGAACACCGGCGGCGAAGGCGCUCUGCUAGGCCGUAACUGACACUGAGGGACGAAAGCUAGGGGAGCGAAUGGG
rnacentral:rRNA from 1 species